rnacentral:lncRNA from 1 species
GAGGGUCCAAUGGCCCACAGCUCAGGGCCUUUGCAGCCACAGUCCUGACUGCCGGGCUCACUCCAGGCCGGGUCCAAGCUCGUGUCCUCACAGAGAGCACAGCCCACCCUGCUCCUCCCACAGGAGCCUCACUGCAGGUCCCGAGGGCCACCGACAGCGCCCCAACUGUCCCGUCCCCGCUGUCUCCACAGGACCCGGGGCCAGGUGGGACUCCGUUGUUUUUCUCUGAUCCCCACCUAGGAGGAAAGAGGCCGCCUCCGUGACCCGGGGCGCAGCCGGCUGCCCGCAGCAGGUGCGGACAGCGCGCUCCUUCCGCCGAGCUUUCCCUUUCCGUGUGAUUCAGAACGUGAGCUCCGUGCCUGGGGCAGGGCGCCCCUGCAUCUCCCCAAGCCCACGUCUCCCCGCAGCGGCGGCGUCUUCCCGUCUCCUUCCCGCCUCCUGCAGCGGGGGUCCCACCGUGGGGCCCGCGGCUCCUCCCCUGCAUCGCGCGGGGUUCACACCGCUCUGCUAUUGGGGUACGGAAUUGACCCCGCGCGUAUUCUGCAGCGGGCUCUCGGGCUCCCGUUUCGGCCACAGAAUGAUGACCUGGGCACACAAACCAACCCUCCUGCUGAAAAGUGCCAAGACCCCCGGACGGUAUGUUCCACCAACGUCUUGCCGACGGCACCCCCGGGCUGGCAGGAAAGACGGACAUCUCCGGCCGCGGCUGCCUGGAAGGAGGGACCCGGGGAAGCCCGGGGAGCCGGAACAGGCUCUGCCUGCAGAAGCGCGGGCCCAGCGGGCUCAGCCGAAAUCUCUCCGUGUUGCAGGGCUCCGGGGAAGAGGACGCAAAACCCAGGGUCCUGCGGGGAAGCUGCCCUAAGUACGGCGCCCAGAACCCGUCACUUCAGUGGCAAGAACUCCACGGAAAUCCCCAGCGCGCCUCCGGCCCCAGGAAGCAAAAGGAACUUGCAGCGUUCACCUGCGGGUGCUGGUCGAGUUCUCCCCUCAGGACUUACGGCGACAGCCGACUCUCCGGCAGGUUUGCAAACCAAACUUAAGGUCACCAGGAUGGUGAGAAAGCCUCACACCGGCCGGGCACAGUGGCUCAUGCUUGCAAU